GCGCACGUAGCUCAGUGGAUUAGAGCAUCUGACUACGGAUCAGAAGGUCGGGGGUUCGAAUCCUCCCGUGCGCG
rnacentral:tRNA from 1 species